GAAAAAAGACCUACGAAAGAAGACCUACGAAAGAAAAAACAACGACAAAAAAUCAGGCGACUCGCACGCACGAGUGAGGCCUCCAGAUCCCUUCUCCACCGCCCGACGCCGCCAGCCCCGUCCUCCUCCCUGGCUCCCGGUGGCGCCCGCUCCCCAUCUCCUCCUGCGAUCCUGGCGUCGCCUCGCCCCACCUUCUCACUCACUCCCGGCGCCACCCCGCCCCACAUUCUCCCUCACCACUGGCGCCGCCCAACCCCAACCUUCCUGGAUCUUGGUGCUGCCCCGCCCCCACCUCCUUCCUCGCUCCCGACUGCCCAUGCCGCCUAUGCGCGCCCCUCCCUCAGCCCACCGGCGACCUCCCAUCCUCCACCGUCUACCCCACCGUCGGAUCUCCUCCUCCCCUCUCCUUCUCUCCCUCGCGGACGCGUCAAACGCACGAAAUUUCCCUCCUCGCGGCCGGAACCCUAGCUCGUGCCUGUGAGGACUGGGCUGGAGGUGCGGCACGGGAUUCGCACCGCAGGAUUCGCCAGCGAUGAGUCCAACAGGUCGUCGAAUCGGGGAACGGGAUGGCGCACCCUGCUGGAGCCGCCGGUCGGGACGAGCGCGGCGGCGACGAACGUUGGUGCGCCUCCGUUUCCUCGACCUCCAAGGACACGGGCACCAGAUUUGUUCUCGCCUGACCAGCCUCGGUAUCCAGCUCCCUACAGCCACCGCUGGCGUUGACUCCCAAGGAUUGACCCGCCUCUCGCCUUUCCUCUUUCGAUUCACCCCGUUGAUUUGUGUGUGAUCGAUUUGCAUUUUUUAUGAUUCCAAAUAGCAGGCGAGGAUGACGACGACACCAAAGAUGACGAGGCCCCGAGCUCGAGCACGACCACUACGACGCACUGCACAAAGGCCCCUGCUUCCUGCCUGCCCUUCCCUUUGCUUGGAAGAUAGCUCACUCCAGAUGUUCUUCCUGUCCUUCUCCUUGGUUGAUGAGCGCUGCACUCACUCAUGUAUGCAGGUUGAGUCCAAGCACAAUAGGCGAGAAGACGACGGUGACGCAGAGGAGGACGAGGACCCGCGCUCCAGCCCGACCACGACUAUGCACCGCACGGUCCCUGCUUCCUGGCUGUCACCAAUUGCCCCCUUCCCUUUACAGUAUUACUCUAUUUGUUUUCAUUGCUUUUCACCUAGUUUUGCACACUUUCUGGCCCUUCAUUUUUUUGUGUGCAGAUGUUCUGAUCGCCUCCAUACGGUUGUUUCCGUCCUCCUGCUCGUGCUGUCUCCAUCCUCCUGCUCAAGUCGUCGCCGUCGCCUCCCAUCCUUCAUGGUCUGCAUGUGUGCGCCCACUGUUGGAGGACGACGUUGAACAUGAAGCGGAGCCCAGCCGGAGCGGUCUGACGCGGUGGUCGUGGCCAAGGAGCGGUGGUCGAUGCCAUGGAGCAGGGGCGCUCGCUCGCCUGCACAUCGGCUGCGUUCUGAACUAAUGCUUUCUGCAACUGCAAUGUUCCCCUUCACAUUGUAUCUUGUGUAGGCAGAAGGAAUGCAGCUCAGUGACGGCGUCAGCUACAACUGGAUCGAUGGCCUAAAGGCUUUUACUAAGAAGAUGAAGAAUUUUCUAGAAUAGUGUCCAUCAACAAAGAGUCUUACUACUACCGGUUGGAGAGGCUCUAUCCUCAGUGCACCACCCUUUCUACACACAUCAUUCAUGGAUUGGCAGACUAAAGGUUCUAUUCAACAUCUUUGGUGGAUUGCAUAAAUGGGCUAGAGUAAAAAUAUACCAGAAUUGUUAUAUGUGCUUAGGGAAGUGGGAUUAGAUCAAGAUUUUUUUGACAAAAUGAGAAAUCAAUGGCUCAAGGAGAGUAAGCCCAAAGAGAUAAGUAUUGUUUUCCUUUAGUAGCUUGCUGCAUAAUUCAUUCAAACAUAUUUAGAGUGGAGCAGGAAUAUUCAAACAAGGAAAUGUACACAAUAUCUGUUAGUAUACAUGUGACACUUUCCUGUCUUUCGACUAAUGAUUGCCUCCUGCCAGGUAUCACUAAUAGCACAUUCAUCACAUCAUUUGUGUAGCUCAUUCUGGUGUAAGUCGGCCCAAUUUAGAAAAGAUUUUAAAGCAGAUUCAUACAGGUUAUAGAAGUCAGAGUCAAAUAGUAUAAUAAGUGAUUUGUUUGUGCAUAAUUUCUAAUUGAUCGUCUUCUAAGGAUAAAUGGAACUGCUACCUUUCCUCUCUCCAAUAAACUAUUAGACCCUGCUUGUAACUAUUUUUCAUCUUGGUGUGAUUUAUAAGGGAGGCCAUGCCAUUAGUUUUUUGUUAUUACAUGCUGUGAUGACCCCGAUUCAUUGAUGUAUAGUGUCGUAUGUGGUCAAUUACCUAAUAUGGUAGUAUCACUUCUCCUGGUUUGCCUUGGUCUGAAAUCUGACUUUGGACUGAUUGUAGUCAAUCUGAAUUAGUGAGGUUCUUUUUUCCAACUGUCCAUGUUCAGUUCUCUACAUUAUCAUGCAUUUCCUUUGGUUUAAAGAUGUCAUGAUGUUCACCAAGGCAGAGAAGAAAUGUUUUAAAGUUGUCCCUUCAAUUGAAACAAGUAUGACUUGGUCCUUAGUGCCUAUGCGGACAUGAAAACGGAAGGUCGAGAGGUUUAAAUAUGUCAUGAUGUUUACAAUUGCGGAUAUCCUGCUUCAGGGUAAAUGUACUGGUUGGUUGCUUCAAGACUUAAUAACAGACACUAUGACAAUGGCUCAAGAGAUAUCAGAUCUACCUUCUUGGUUGGGGCAUUAUGGGUGGCGCACGCCUCAGCCCCCUUGUUGGCCGUGGUGGAUGGACAUGAACACGAGGGGGGAUCAGGGCGGAGAGCAGGGUGGUUGGCGGGGGACUCAUCCUUGGCAGUUCAUGGGAAAGUACGGUGUGAAGCAGAGGGGGCGCCAUGGCGAAGUGUGAAAGGAGGAAAAUGGUUGCCGGAAAGCAGGUAGAUCUACACCUUGAGAGAUGGCAUUUUGCGGUACAUUGUUUAGGUAUUUGGAGUAUCUAUUAUGUUUCAGAAUUUCUUGAACUAUGGUAUCUCCAUAUCCAUCUAAUGAAUGCCCCCCCCCCCCGUAAUUUCAUUCAAGAUAUCUUAAGGAGAAAUUUGGUUUUUGGUGAACUAAAACAAUAUACCAAUAAAAAUUUAGCGCUUGGCUAUACAUAUGAAUGUUAACUUUGUUAAAAUAAUUCUCCCUUUAUAAGAGAAGAUUUCUUAGUUCAAAUAUAUUUUUUGAAAAAAUAUAGUAUUUUCCUGACAAACCUUUUGAUUCCUCAACAUCCAUAUCUCAGAAGGAUAAUAGUGGUGUGUUUAUGUUGCUUUGGGUCUCUUAUCACUCGGAUCAUUCAUCAGAAAAAUAUUUAAAAAAUAAUUCUAUUUUGACGUUUCCUUUGUGUUCAUUGUUCCAUCAUAGUAGUUUAGGUGCACAUGAAACCAGACCAUAUGUUUCAGUUUCACUCUUUGGACCAUGAUGGUGGUGUGCAAGGUGGGCUAGAUCGUAAUGCUAAAAGAAUCAAUGGAGGUUAUUGGAUAGCUUUUAGAUUCUCCAAAAAAUAAUCUAGCAGAUGGAUGAUCCUAUUAUCACGUAUGGUGGUGGUGUGCAAGGAAAUGGAGCAGCAUGAUGGUAGCUAAUGCUGUUAUUUUCACAUAGUGUAGUAUAUUGGGAGCCAAGGCCGAGUAGCAAGCCAUGUGUCACCGCAAGGACAGGAGAGAGAUUUAAUUAAUUGUAUUUGCAAGAUUUGGUCUUUCCUUCUUGUUUUCCUGGUCAUCUCACAGGUCAUUAGUGGUCACUUGGGAUGGGUGCGAUCUGUAGCAUUUGAUCCAGGGAACAAAUGGUUUUGUCCUGGUUUUGCUGAUAGGACAAUAAUGGAGGAAGAAGCCGAAGGUAGAAGACAAACAACAACCAUUCGAUGAAGAUCCAACGUUGCUCGAGCAGUGGCGUCAUAGUCGAAGGCGGGAAGAGGGUUGACAGGUGUGGGUGGGGGUGCGAUGGCUCGCUGAAAAAAUCUGGUUACUGGGUUGGUCCACAGGGAUAGUCGAGGGUGGCGACAGGGGAGGGCAGGGAAGCAACGCGGUCGGGGGUGGUGGCGAUGGGUCGAUCAGCCGGUUGUAGUUGGCGGUUCAGUAGGAGCAAGAGGUCAGGGGUAGAGGAUAAACAACAACCAUUCGACUAAAGACCCAACAACCCUCAUAAAUCAACUUUGCAUCAAAUUUUUAUAGUCUGACAUAUAACUGACACCCUUAAUACCGAGAUAUUUAGAAUAUUUUUGAUCAUAUUUAUAUGAAAAAAAUAUCAUCUUAUGCAAUACUAAAGUUAUACAUUAUAAAAAUUGAACUCGUGAUGUGCAUCUAAUGAUAUUGAUUCCGUAUUGUGAUUUUUUUGUAUUUUCUAUAAAGUUGGUAAACUUUACAAAGUUUGACUUUAGACAAAUCUUAUAUGCGAGUAAAAGGACCGGAGGGAGUACUAUGUUGCUUUCUACAUGUCUUCUUAUGGCUUUAUUAAAGAUCUUCAUUUUUAUGGGUUUAAACACAAGAUGUUAUUUUUGUAGCACAUUUCUGAUAAGUUUUUCUUCUAUAAAGCUAUAAUUUCAACCACAUUCUAAAAUAUAAAUGGGAUUUGGUGAUAAGUAAUCAUUGUGUUUGUUCAUAAUCUAUCAGACACGACAACGUUCAUGUCGAAUGUGUUCUAGAAAUGUUCUUUGAUAAAUAUGUUUUUAGCUAUUAAUAUUUUAGUAUGGUCUUAAAUUUAUCAAUUCACAUAUCACUUCGAUA